rnacentral:misc_RNA from 1 species
AGGACGAGGUGGCGGAUUCGGAGGACGUCGGCGAACUCGCGGACUGUGAGGGGAUAGCAACUCAAGGUCGUGCUUCCUUGAUGAAGCGGAGGACC